GGGAAACAAAGCAAACCCAACAAUUGGGAGGCUAAAGGUGGCUUGCAGUGUUAGUGAGGUGGGUACGGGAGACAGCAAACCAGUGAUUUGCUUUCAAAGUACUGAUCUUGGAAAACUUUAAACAUCGCUAUAAGCAUUUAAAAAAGUCAGCUAGCUACAUCAAUAUUGUUGGACAUUUCUUAAUUUUAGGAGUGAGAUGUGAUUUUUUUUAAAUAGACUUUUUUCCAAGGUAAGUUGUAGAGAGAAUCAGAAGGCAAGGUAGAGAAGGACAGAAUAUUUGCGGCACACAGACUAGACCACUGACGUGUUCCUUGUCUGUGUCACCAUGGGACACUGGCUACCGUCUCGGACCUGCCUGCAUUGCCCAGUGAAAUCUAAGCACAUAACUGGAAUCCCAUCUGGAGCCUUCUUCAAAACCAUCAGGCUCUCAGAUUCCUGCUGUCCUUGCUUGACCCUGACCCCGCCCGGAGCCGCAGCUGAGGUAGAGACUGUGAUGUGGUUUGUCUCCCUCACGCGACCGCCCUAACGCAGAGUGCUAACGGCCACCACGCAGUGUUCUCAUCGAAGGGAGGAAAAAACCAGCUUUAUUUUUUUUCUGAUAAAACAUAUCAAAGAAGUCUGUUUCAGAAGUCUUACCUGGAGAACAAUGUAACAAAGACAGAAUCGUCAUUCAAUAUUGACAGUCGCCAUGUCCAGCUUUGUAUCACGUUUUAUUCUUUCCA
rnacentral:lncRNA from 1 species